GCCCUCACUCUCUUUGCUAUGACGUCACCAUCAUCCCUAAGUUCAGAUCUGAACCACGGUAGUGCGAGGUUCAAGGUCAGGUGGAUAAAAAGAUUUUUCUUCUCUCUGACUGUUGCAAUAACACAGUUAAAUCCUUCAGUUCCCUGCGGAAGAAAAUAAAUGUCACACGGGCCUGGAAAGCACAGAAUCCAGUACUGAAAAAGGUGGUGGACAUGCUCACAGAGCAACUGCUGGACAUUCAGCUGGAGAAUGACACACCCAGGGAUAAAACCCCUCACCCUGCAGGCCAGGAUGUCUCGUGAGCGGGAAGGUGAUGGACAUAGUAGUGGAUCUUGGCAUUUAGACUUUGAUAGACAGAUCUUCCUCCUCUCUGACUCAGAGAAGAGAAAGUGGACAGUGAUUCAUGCUGGAGGCAGACAGAAGAAAGAGAAGUGGAAGAAUGAAGGGAAGUGACCAUGUUCUUCCAGAAGGUCUCCAAGGGACAUUGCAAAAGCUAGCUUAUGGACUUCCCCAUUCACAGGGAGAAGAGGCUGGAGCUCGCAGGUAACUGACAGCAGAGCACUGGGAGCGCCCUGGAGAUGCCGUUGAAGUACACC
rnacentral:lncRNA from 1 species